rnacentral:rRNA from 1 species
GAUGAACGCUGGCGGCGUGCCUAAUACAUGCAGGUCGAGCGAACGGACGAGAAGCUUGCUUCUCUGAUGUUAGCGGCGGACGGGUGAGUAACACGUGGAUAACCUACCUAUAAGACUGGGAUAACUUCGGGAAACCGGAGCUAAUACCGGAUGAUAUUUUGAACCGCAUGGUUCAAAAGUGAAAGACGGUCUUGCUGUCACUUAUAGAUGGAUCCGCGCUGCAUUAGCUAGUUGGUAAGGUAACGGCUUACCAAGGCAACGAUUCAUAGCCGACCUGAGAGGGUGAUCGGCCACACUGGAACUGAGACACGGUCCAGACUCCUACGGGAGGCAGCAGUAGGGAAUCUUCCGCAAUGGGCGAAAGCCUGACGGAGCAACGCCGCGUGAGUGAUGAAGGUCUUCGGAUCGUAAAACUCUGUUAUUAGGGAAGAACAUAUGUGUAAGUAACUGUGCACAUCUUGACGGUACCUAAUCAGAAAGCCACGGCUAACUACGUG